CCUGGUCGCGAGCACAUGGAAGUGAGGUCGAGAUUUGUGUCUGAGAGACGAUCACGAGGAAAAACGGAAUAUAAACAGCGCGAAGCGGCGGCAGAAGCAGCCCGGAUGGUGGCGUUGCUGCAGGACCCUCAUGCAGGCCGAACCUCACCACAGCUGCUGCACCAAUACGCCACUGAAGAUACUGAUCUGAAUAGGGAGGAUGCAAAGGUUUCCCAGAGACUAUGGGUUGAGGAGGAAUUGGAAGUUUGUCGGCUUAGACCUGGUGUUAUUCCAUCAGUGUUAAACUUCCCGGCUCAUCUUGGAAGAGUACGUGCCAGAAAGACCACAACCAAGCAGCCUUGAGAUCUUAGACAACAUCUCCCUGAGGUUCCUCUCUAUCUCCCCACACAUCCACCAACCACUGGAACACAUCUCCAAAGUUCUGCAGGGCCAGCUCAGCUUCCCCUCAGAAGAAGUGCCGCCACCUGCCAGAUGAAGGAGCCUUUUGAGAGGCAGCUGGCAUCGUGAUUGGACUGUACUUUGGUCUGUUCCAAUCCAGCUUCAGCUCCAGAGACGGCAGGCGGGACGAGUCAACGGAGGCCGGGUGGACGAAGGCAUGAAGCUGAGUACAAUCCAGAAAACAACAGAGGAGGAGCGCAAACAGAGUAGCAUG
ensembl:lncRNA